rnacentral:lncRNA from 13 species
GCAUUGGCGUUUGUAGACCGUGACCUGCCCCUUCUCUGCCAUUGCCUGGGGGCACCUCUGGCCUGAACAGGAGGAGACGAAGGGCCUUCCUAGGAGAGGCACAGCACGGACAAAGGCUCAUGAGGCGGGGGUGCCCAAUGAUCCCGUCCUGGCUCGGGAAGGGAGGCCCGAGUUCCCUGGGAACUGAAAUCUGCUAGCAGCACUGUGAAGGAGUGCAAUUCCCCCUCCUAAUGACAGGGGAAACUGAGGCUUUGGGGAGGUGGGGGAUUUGCCCUUGACACGAAAAUAGGAGGAGGAGGAAUUGAGUGUACCCCUGGGCCUGCAGGCCCCCACACCCCUCCCCAGUCUUCUUCAAGACCUGGCAUGGUAGGAAGAGGGAGGGGGAAGCAGAGAGGAAGCAUAGGGCUCCUAGUGCACCAAGGGAGACAGGGGCCCGGGGGAGGGAACCUGGGGAUCUAGCUUUCCUUGGAGCAGUACGGAAGGUAACAGGGAAGAUCAGGAGGACAGACAGCUGAGAUGGGAGACAGGAGAGAUGGGCCCCAGGACCCCUGUGGAGCCAAGAUCUCCCCGACAGAACCUAGUCUCCCCACCCCACCUGGAGCUUCAUCAGGGGCUCCUCAGCAGUGAAGUGGCACAAGCCUCCCAGUUCAGUGGCCGAGUGGAGGUGGUGGUGUUGUCGUGGCUCCUGGAAACACGACAUAACCAGGAGCUCGACCCACCAUCCUCAGGAUCACACAGGAGAAUCUCAUCCUCACAGAUUGGAUUGGUCCUGGGGGCCCCCUGGUGUGCUGCUAACUGGUAUACCACAAUGAUCAGGAGCAGCCCAGAGGGGAGCCAGGAAGAGACCCUUGCCCUCACCCUCUAUCCCCAUUUCUGUAUCUCUUACACCGGUACCCCAGGGUCCACGUUCCCAGUUCCUGGGACUGAAAACUGCAGCAGUCGGCCAGCUCCAGGGACAGAGUGGCCCAGCCACUUACCAUGUACCCUCCUCAGCUGCCCACUGGACCCAGGUCCUGAAUGAAGCUGUCCACCUGCCUGACCCCAGAAGAGGGGACGGUGGCUGCCUUGUGCCCCCUGCAGUCUCCCACAGCUAGGGCCUGAUG